rnacentral:misc_RNA from 1 species
AACUUUUAGCAACGUAUCACUUGGCAUCCCAAUCGAUUAAGAACGUAGCGAAUUGCGAUAAGUAAUGUGAAUUGCAGAAUUCAGUGAAUCAUCGAAUCUUUGAACGCACCUUGCACCCUCCGGUCUCCGGAGGGUAUGCUCGGUUGAGUGUUUUGAAUAUCUCAACCCCUUGGUUGCUUCAUGGCCUCUGUCAGCCGUAGCGUCGCCUAACGAGGCGAUGCUGGGCUGCGAGGUGAAGCCGAUGGGGAUUGGACUUGAGCUUUGUCGGCGGCUAGUCGACAUGCUUGAAACGAAUUAGCUGGACCUUGUGCCGUCUGUCUUUGGCGUGAUAAGUCUUGAUCGUCAUGUGGAGUCGCACGUCGGGCCGCUUCCAGUCGUCCUCGGACAAUACCUGAUCUUUACACCUCAACUCGAGUAGGACUACCCGCUGAACUUAAGCAUAUCAAUAAGCGGAGGCU